rnacentral:rRNA from 1 species
AGCGAACGCUGGCGGCAGGCCUAACACAUGCAAGUCGAACGGAUCCUUCGGGAUUAGUGGCGGAUGGGUGAGUAACACGUGGGAACGUGCCCUUUGGUUCGGAACAACUCAGGGAAACUUGAGCUAAUACCGGAUGUGCCCUUCGGGGGAAAGAUUUAUCGCCAUUGGAGCGGCCCGCGUCUGAUUAGCUAGUUGGUGAGGUAACGGCCCACCAAGGCGACGAUCAGUAGCUGGCCUGAGAGGAUGAUCAGCCACACUGGGACUGAGACACGGCCCAGACUCCUACGGGAGGCAGCAGUGGGGAAUCUUGCGCAAUGGGCGAAAGCCUGACGCAGCCAUGCCGCGUGAAUGAUGAAGGUCUUAGGAUUGUAAAAUUCUUUCAGCGGGGACGAUAAUGACGGUACCCGCAGAAGAAGCUCCGGCUAACUUCGUG